UCAGCCGAACGCCGUUGAGCCCGCCGGACCGUCCGCGCUUCCCUCCCGGGACGCGGCGGUCCGGUGUGCUGGCUCCGGCUCGCGGCGCAUUUCCUCCCGUCCUCCGACGCCGCGACCGGUCGGGCACGCCACGAGCAGUCGGCCUUACUCGCGGGAGACGGAAGGUAGCCGGGUCGGCGCGCACGCGCCGCUCCCCGGUGUUUAGCCGUCCCGCAAUCGAGUCAGCCGUUCGCCCGACCGCAGGAUCUGUGGCCCUCAGGGGCCCUGCCGCGCCCUCCCCGGCUUCCGGGGAUCGCAGCCCGUCUCGGAAGGGAUGCCGCUUGUCUCGCGCCGCACCCGAGGUGCACGCGAGGCGGCGGUGCCCGCUGGCCGAGGCGGUUUCGAUUCGGGCGCCGGCGGUCCGCGGCGAGUAGGUCGGUCACCCACUCGACCCGUCUUGAAACACGGACCAAGGAGUUUAACAUGCACGCGAGUCACUGGGUCUUGAACAGGCCCAAGGGCGCAAUGAAAGUGAAGGGCUGCUCCUGCAGUCCGCGUUGGGAUCCCCCGUCCUCCGCGGCGGGGGCGCACCAACGGCUCGUCCGGGCCGCCACGUCGGCCGGGCGAAGCUAGAGCGUGCACGUUGAGACCCGAAAGAUGGUGAACUAUGGCUGGGCAGGACGAAGCCAGCGG
rnacentral:rRNA from 1 species